rfam:Postia placenta Mad-698-R POSPLscaffold_14_Cont1148, whole genome shotgun sequence.
UGCGGCAGGAGGUAGUGCAAUCAGACAACCCCCUCGCCUUUUACUAGGGGGUUCCGUGUUCUGCCUCCAAAUCAAUGCCGCAUUCCCAAUUUUUCAGCUCUCAGCUCGAUCUGAGUC